UGAAAUAAUCUGUCUGUAAACAAUUGUUGAAAAAAUUAAGUGUAUGUAAACUUCCGACUUCAACUGUACUUGAUAACCAAAGUAACAAUCCCAGCAUUGACAGAAAGGGCCAUAAGAUACCCUUUUAGUCCUGUUUCAUACUCUUAAGACCUAUAUGUAGUUCAGGGCUUUCUAUAGAGCAAUUAUUCUUACCACACACCUCAUGGUAAUAGUGGCAGCAACUGCAGAAUUGAAGGCUUUGAAACCACGUGAUUCACCGCAGACCUUUAGUAUGCUCCUAUCUAUAAAGCCAUGAACUAAAAUGUAAAGAGCUUGUUCAUUUAAAGAUGGAGCGGCUGUGGCCCUGGAUCCAUGUGCUGUGUAUUCUAGUCCUCACAGACCUGUGGACUUUACCCAUCUCUAAGGAACAAUGGCCAAGGCCUAAGAACAUGGAACUGGCUGAGUUUUGUGUCUUCAUCCACUCUUUUGAAAAUCAUCUGGAAAAGAGUAAAAAAAUACUGCAUUGGAGUACAUUGAUUGUUUUGACUAAUUCCUCAGGUAUUGCAAUUCUAGUUAUUUUCUGUUUUUCAAUGGUAAUAGUUGAGUAUACUUACAGUAGGAGGUGCACUUUAGGACAACUAAAAGUUAUGACUACUUUAGAUCAAGCAAAAGCUAUUUUCUGGAUAACUUAAAAUGUUGCCUACUUUAGGACAAAUAAGACGUAUUUGUCCAUAUAAGAGAAGCGACCUGCUAUCAGUGGGAAUUUGGUUAGUAACCAGCUGGUUGAUAAGGUACCUGAGGAUGUUCUACCACAUGAGCCACAGCAGUGGUCCCCUGCCCUGCAGUAAGAGGGCCACCUCCACCUCAGCCCUGGAGGAGAAGAUCAGGGAGAUGCAGGGUUUCUUUAGUCUGAAGAAGACUGGUAGACUGGAUCUCCAAACCCUCUCUCUGAUGAGGAAGCACAGGUGUGUACUGCCUGCUGUGGAAAACUACAGCUUUUACCCUGACCAGUGGAAGAAUCACACCUUCACCUACAGGAUUGCUCAGUACACCCCUGACCUUACAAGGGAAGUGGUGGAUACCUCAUUCCGUUUGGCCCUGAAAAUCUGGAGUGAUGAGGCCCCACUGAAAUUCAUCAAUGUCAACCACGACAAGGCAGACAUUAUCCUCUCCUAAGCAAGAAAGACUCAUGGAAAAUUCUUUCCCUUUGAUGGCCCCACAGGUAUUCUGGCUCACGCCUUCAAGCCAAGGGAGUGCAUGGGGGGAGACGUGCACUUUGACAAGGAUGAAAUCUGGACAGUGUGGCAUCGCAAGCUAGGUUACAACCUGUUCACUGUUGUGGCCCAUGAGUCAGGCCACUCCCUUGGUAUCUCCCAUUCCAAAGACCCCUCAUCUCUCAUGUACCCCAACUACAAGUAUUACAAUGGAGCACAGUACACACUGCCAUGAGGUGACGCGCUGGGAAUCCAGCAGUACAUGUGGUUGAGGACAACAUGGACGACAUACUGGAAUCGUCUGAGAGAGGGCCCCAGCAGCACAUACCUUCCCAGCAUCAACUCUCCUGUGGGUGCGGCCUAUGACAUCCCUGCCAAAGGCGUGGCAUAUGUCUUCACUGGUAAUGUGCAGUCUGAUCGCCUCAAAGGCCUCACUUAG